rnacentral:rRNA from 1 species
AACCUUUACAAUGCACGCAAGUGUGAUAAGGGAACCCUAAGUGCUGAUGCUUUGCAUCAGCUUUUGCUUAGAGUAAAUAUCUAAGCGAAUAAGUAGUGGGCAAUACCUGUGCCAGCCGCCGCGGUAACCCAGGAGCUACAAGUGGCAACCGCAUUUAUUGGGCCUAAAGAGUCCGUAGCCGGUCUUGUAAAUUUUCUGUGAAAUCGUUGCGCUCAACGUAACGGCGUGCAGAAAACACUGCAAGACUUGGGACCGGGAGGAGUUAGAGGUAUUUUAGGGGGAGCGGUAAAAUGCUAUAAUCCCUGAAGGACCACCUGUGGCGAAGGCGUCUAACUAGAACGGAUCCGACGGUGAGGGACGAAAGCUAGGGGAUCAAUCCGG